AUUAACAGUGGGUGGAGGUACACAGGGUAGAGGUGCUAUAAGAGGAGACGCUGCAGAUGCGCCGUUCUAGCGAGAAGCGUACUGAAAGCCUGAGCGAAUUGAUCCAUGCGGUGAUCAUUCUCCUCUAAUUUCCUCUCGCAAGCAGCUAUGUGCUGACACAGUUCUACAGGAUCUAUGGCCAUGUCGUAAUAUCAGGAUUAC